GACGAACGCUGGCGGCGUGCUUAACACAUGCAAGUCGAACGGAAAGGCCCUGCUUGCAGGGUACUCGAGUGGCGAACGGGUGAGUAACACGUGGGUGAUCUGCCCUGCACUUCGGGAUAAGCCUGGGAAACUAGGUCUAAUACCGGAUAGGAGCCAUUUUUAGUGUGAUGGUUGGAAAGUUUUUUCGGUGUAGGAUGAGCUCGCGGCCUAUCAGCUUGUUGGUGGGGUAAUGGCCUACCAAGGCGGCGACGGGUAGCCGGCCUGAGAGGGUGGACGGCCACAUUGGGACUGAGAUACGGCCCAGACUCCUACGGGAGGCAGCAGUGGGGAAUAUUGCACAAUGGGCGCAAGCCUGAUGCAGCGACGCCGCGUGGGGGAGGACGGCCUUCGGGUUGGAAACUCCUUUCGCUAGGGACGAAGCUUUUUGUGACGGUACCUAGAUAAGAAGCACCGGCUAACUACGUG
rnacentral:rRNA from 1 species